UCUCCCAGAUAAGGUAACAUUUGAUUAGUCCCCUGCAAAUUGGGCCACUGCAGGUCUGUGAUGAAAUAAUAAAAUAUAUAGCAACUGUCCACGUUCAGUGAGAGGAAAAAGAAAUUGGAUGCAAUCUUCCAAUCUGGGGGCUUGUGGGGCCUGUUAAACCAAAUGUUCUGGAUCACUGAGCCACAGGCCUCUCUUGUUCAAACUGAGGAUACUAUGCCUAUCCUCAGUCUGGGGUUCCUGUAAUUUCUCUGUCCUCCAACAUAGCAAAACACGCUGUCAUUGCUUAUCUUUUUUCUUUGCAUCAUUAGAGAAGCACUAAUGAUGUACUGACCUUGUUUUUUGGAAUAAGUCAUGUUGUCUUCCUUUUCCAUGAUACUGUGUACAGGGCAAGUACACACUUUUAAGAUGAAGUUGUUGGGCGGGAACGGGAACCAAAUGACUUGCAUCACCUUCGAUUUCUCAAUUGGGUUCGGAUCACCCAUCAGCGAGAGUUAAGGUCGAGGCAUGGAUGGGGGACAACUCUUGUCUACAUCUCGUAAGGUUUGAGAGAAUGUUAGCCUCGCAUGACGUGUCUGACUCCCACCAUCAGAAGCAAUCUUCCUUGGUUAUGGUUUCUCAAAGGCAUCAGUCCUGUGGCGAUAUUGAAGAAUGCAACUCAAGUGACAAGAUAUUCUGACCAAAACCAGCAGCAAUCUUCUAAGAUACAGCAACACUCCUCAAUAUAAAAUGCAUCAAUAAGAAGACGGGAGAGCAGUACACGGAAGGGCCCAAGGUUGAAAAGUACAAGGAGAUGCUGAUGAAGAAAACUCAAGAUCAGGGCGCCUAGUUUAUUUCUUAUGACCCAGUCAAAGGGGAGUGGAAGUUCAAGGACUUAUCUAGGUGCAAGGAAACAUUGUCAACCCUUAAAGCCAUGCAGGGGCAAGGAGGCUAUCCACAACUAGAACUGGACAUAGCUCACCUUGAAAAGGAAAUUGAGUUAUAUUCAAUGGAGAAGCUGUGUUAUGAAGCUCAAAUGAUAGUAUGGUAAAUGAGAAGGCUCCAUCUCCUUUUCAAAUAGGAAAUUGCUUCACAUCUGGGCUUUCCUGAUGGUUCUGUAAGCCACUAUGGUCUGGAUGUUUAUGUUAAAAGUGUGUUAUUAAUGGCUGACAUUGUUCUUUAUGGUUCCUUUGAAGUACCCAUCAUUGCUCCUGACUUGGCUAGCAUAAAAAGAUAUGAGGCAGCCAUGAUACGAUUGGAUAUGAGUGAAUAUAUGGAGCGGCAAAGAAAGUAGUUGGCAAGAUUAAAGUGGAAGGUUAGUUUUCAAUGGUAUAAACCGAAUGUGGGUGCUAAUUGAUGAAUUUUCAGGGAUUCUAUGCCCACUUUUUAGUCUUAAGCACAACCUGUGAAGUGAUCUGAGCUUAGCUAUAGGAACUUUCUGCUCAAGAUGCCACUCCUGCUUCCUUUCCCAUUCGAAGUUGUGAUACUGCUACAAUUUUCUUUUUUCUAAGAAUUUCAACCACUGUGGUAUUGGAUGCUCCAGGCCUAGUCAUAUGGAGAACUUUGUCUUGGUUUUUAAUUAAUUGUGGGCUUUUCUAUCAUAUUACUGUUCUUUCUGGAGAAUGUGCAAAUGAAGUGGUGAGCUUUCACAAAUUUUGCUUCAAUUAUUUUCUCUAGGAAUGCAACUAUAGAGGGAUUUAACUCUAGGAAUUACUGGAAGAUGCUCAUACCAGACAUGGACUGCUGGGCUAUGAUGGUGUGAUGCAUAUAGGCUUCUUCUCUUUUCUUUUGUAAGUUAUUAAAAAGAAAAAAAAUGGCAUUCCUGUUACUUCUGAUCAACUACUAGAGGUUAUAAAAAGUGUCUCAAAAUUUCUUGUCUUCAUUGUAUUAUAAAUUAGAGGUACAAUUGAUCUACAGUGGAAUGAUGGCCGCACACACAUUGAUGAAAUGAUGGCCAUUUAUAUUAAUUUUCUUUUUUGGA